rnacentral:rRNA from 1 species
GACGAACGCUGGCGGCGUGCCUAAUGCAUGCAAGUUGAGCGCUGAAGGUUGGUACUUGUACCAACUGGAUGAGCAGCGAACGGGUGAGUAACGCGUGGGGAAUCUGCCUUUGAGCGGGGGACAACAUUUGGAAACGAAUGCUAAUACCGCAUAAAAACUUUAAACACAAGUUUUAAGUUUGAAAGAUGCAAUUGCAUCACUCAAAGAUGAUCCCGCGUUGUAUUAGCUAGUUGGUGAGGUAAAGGCUCACCAAGGCGAUGAUACAUAGCCGACCUGAGAGGGUGCUCGGCCACAUUGGGACUGCGACCCGGCCCAAACUCCUACGGGAGGCAGCAGUAGGGAAUCUUCGGCAAUGGACGAAAGUCUGACCGAGCAACGCCGCGUGAGUGAAGAAGGUUUUCGGAUCGUAAAACUCUGUUGGUAGAGAAGAACGUUGGUGAGAGUGGAAAGCUCAUCAAGUGACGGUAACUACCCAGAAAGGGACGGCUAACUACGUG